rnacentral:rRNA from 1 species
AAGUCGAGGGGCAGCACGAUCUUCGGAUUGGUGGCGACCGGCGCACGGGUGCGUAACGCGUAUAGAACCUACCUUUUACAGAGGGAUAGCCCAGAGAAAUUUGGAUUAAUACCUCAUAGUAUUAUAGAUUGGCAUCGAUUUAUAAUUAAACAUUUAUGGUAAGAGAUGGCUAUGCGUCCUACUAGUUAGUUGGUAAGGCAACGGCUUACCAAGACAGCGAUAGGUAGGGUCCUGAGAGGGAGACCCCCCACACUGGUACUGAGACACGGACCAGACUCC